CCACCCACUAGUUACUUACUAGUAUUGGCUUCUUGAGUAUUGACUUCUUUAUCUCAAAAAUGGAUAUAAGAAUAUUCUAUUCCUGAGGUUGUUUUGAGGAUAAAACAGAUAAUUUCUAUCUGAAGCUCUUAGCAGAAUGCCUAAUAUCUUCUUCUAGAUGGGAUCGAACUUCCUCCUUUCGCUCAGAGAGGUUUGAUUGUCUGAAGCCUUCUUCUCUCAACUUGUCAAAGUCAUUCUCCAUCUAGGUUUGUCCGUUGCUGAAAACGUCCUAAUAAGAAGAUAAGGUGACCGAAUAAGGGGAUUACUUGGCAGAGAUAUGAGAGAACUGGGUUCUUGACCCCACUUUGCCAUGAACUUGGGUAAGUUACUAAGUCUGUCAGUAUCAUGGUUCCUUGUCUGUAUAACUAGCAACCUUUACAGAGAGCUUCUCUUCCAAUGUUGAUACUUUUUAUUUCUAAGGAUAUAUUUUUUAAACAAUUUCUCUUACAGUUUUCUCAAAAUUAAAUAGUAUUUUUUCAGUGAUAAAGUGAGUAUACUGAGAAUUGAAGAGAUGGAAAAUACAGUUAUGUCUCCCAUAAUAAAUGGGUAAAAAUGCCCAAGCAUCAAAACCGUGGGCUGCUCUAACCUGGAGAGAUGUCUGAUGGUGACAUGAAAAGAUGCACUUUUUAGGAAAAAUCUCAGCCUGAAAUUUAUUCUCUUGCCAAAAUUCAGAGCAACUAUGUUGUUUAACACAUAAUUACAGAGUAAUUUCUUUUUAUGUCAUUUUGACUAUUUCAUUUUAUUUUUGGACGGGCUGCCCAGUUGGAGUGGAGCACAGUUGUCCAUGCAUGAUUACUAAUAACAUCAUUAUCCUGCUAUGUAAUAUGGUUUGUUUACUUAUAUCUAAGAUCUGAAGUUUAUUUAUAAAAUGUUUUAUUGUUAAAAGUGGUUUUUGCUUCUUAUCAUGAGUAUAAAACUGUAUACAUUUUUAUAACACAAAUCUCAUAAUUUUAGACAGACAUAAUAGUAACUACAAUUUGUUAAGCAUAUUUAUACAACAGAAUGUGUACUAGGUAUUUUAUAUAUUUAUUUCAUUUAAGUUUUACAAUAAGCUGGGUAGGUAUUAUCAGCAGUUUGCUGAAAAAGUAUCUGAAUUCCAGGACAUAGGUAACUCACUUAAGGUUGCACAUCUAGUAUAUGGCAGGGUGAGAGGCCCACAAAUAUCAAGUUCAACAUAACUAUUCAGUGCUUAAAAUUCUCUGUAUUAUAUGAAUCUCUAUCUUCAUUUUAAUAUCUGCCAGUAUAUCAUUGUAAAGAUAUAAUUAAUUUUAUUUUAAUAUUUUUAUUAUACAAAAUUUAUUUAAUCAUUUCACCUUUUUCUAAUUUUUGUUAGUGUCAACAGUGUUGCAAUUAAUAUAUUUGUAUACUUGCUUAUAUUUACUUUUUCCGAUGAAAAUGUAAAAGUGAAUUCAAUUUAUCAAUAAAUAUACUUAUUAAAAGUUUGAAAUACACAUUUAAUUGCCCUGCAGAACAUUUCUACUGGGAAUAUGCAAGGGUACCUAUUUUCUUACACCCAUGUCAACACUGAAUAGCAGAAACUGUUAAAAUUUUUCUAAUCUGAUACAUCAAAAUGUUUAUCUUCAUUGAAUUUCAAACUUCUCAUUACUAACAGGGGGACUUCUAAGAAUUCCUUCUUUAGAUUUCAUCUUUAAUAAAUUUUUAAUACAUUUAGUCCAUUUUUCUAAUAACUUGUUUUUUUAUUCAUAAAAUGUCUUUAUUAAAUAAAUCUCUUGCCUAUCAUGUAGA
rnacentral:lncRNA from 1 species